AUGUUAUAUUUCAUGUAUAUUUCAGCACUGAUAAAGUCAAUAACUAAACUGUUGUUUUAACAGAUUGGCGCUCUGAUAACUUUACACGGAUUAACUACAACUUCAGUUUUUAUUACAUUUCAUCUGAAUAUAAGAGCUGGAAUAACAGCAGACGAGACUGUGAACAGAGAGGAGCAAAUCUGGUGACUAUAAACAACAAAGAGGAACAAGAGUUUUUGCAGAAGGCUACAUCUGGUCAUUAUUAUUAUUGGAUUGGUCUGAGUAAAGAGGGAGAGGUGUGGAAAUGGGUUGAUGGCACCACAUUGACAUUAAGAUUGUGGAAAAAUGGAUACCCUGGAUUGGAAAAUCAUAUCUGUGCUGCUGCAACAGAUACAUCAGAAUGGAGUAAUUAUGACUGUAAAUCAAUGUACAGAUGUAUCUGUGAGAAGAGCAUCUUUAAACACCAGGACAAAAGUCUGUUUAGCAAUUUUGUUACAACAUGAAAAACACAAAU